rnacentral:rRNA from 1 species
AGUGAACGCUGGCGGUAUGCCUAACACAUGCAAGUCGAACGGCAGCACAGUAAGAGCUUGCUCUUACGGUUGGCGAGUGGCGGACGGGUGAGGCAUACAUCGCCAUCUACUUUUUCGUGGGUGACAACGUAGGGAAACUGACGCUAAUACCGCAUACGACCUACGGGUGAAAGCAGUGGUUCUUCGCACCUUUCGCGAUUGUAUUAGCCGAUGCCGGAUUAGCUAGUUGGCGGGGUAAAGGCCCACCAAGGCGACGAUCCGUAGCUGGUCUGAGAGGAUGAUCAGCCACACUGGAACUGAGACACGGUCCAGACUCCUACGGGAGGCAGCAGUAGGGAAUAUUGGACAAUGGGCGAAAGCCUGAUCCAGCCAUACCGCGUGGGUGAAGAAGGCCUUCGGGUUGUAAAGCCCUUUUGUUGGGAAAGAAAAGCAGCAGGUUAAUCCCCCGAUGUUCUGACGGUACCCAAAGAGUAAGCACCGGCUAACUUCGUG